ensembl:lncRNA
CUGUGCCUGCGGCUUCCAUAGCAGGGAAAACAUAGGUUAGAUCACCACUCCCCCGACCGUCACCAGGGCACUCUCGGAAUGUCCUGCCUACAAGGACUUGGCUCACUAGCCACAAGGAAGUACAUACCAAGAUCUGUUGGCCACUUUCCACCCUAAGGAUGCCUCAUUCUUAUCUCUGCUGUGUCUCCACUAGCACAGCAGAAUGUGAUGGACAGAAUAAGAAGCCUGUUGCCUUUUAUCAGCCAGUGCAGGCAGAAGACUCAGAAGGGCUGGGGAGCACUUGUAAUGCAGCAGUCCAAAAUCAGGCCCUACAAAAGCCUGGUGGUGCAAAGAACACAGAGAGUGAGACCAGACAGGUCUGAUUUAAGAUCCAGUCUCCACCAUUUUGAUGAAUUGGGCAAGUUACUUAAUCUCACUGUGCAUCAAUUUUCUCAUCUAGGAAAUAGGGAUAAUGACUCCUACUUCAUGGAAUUGUUCUGGGGAGUAUAUAUGUUGCAUAAAAGCACUAGCAUGGGUGCUGGGUACAGACUAGGUACCCGAAACUCUACAGGGCUUGUCCAAUAAAUUGGGGCUUUUGUGAUUAUUUAAAAUGGACUGCAAUACUGAUAAGUUUCUCUGAUGCCAGAGUCAGAAAAAAAGGUCAAAUUCAGCGCCCCAAGUAUCUUUAGCUACAACUGGCCUAAGCAAGCUGGAAAACAAUUCCCAAGUUAUCCGGGCUGCUCUUGCUCCUGCCAGCUAAUCCCUAACUGCAUUUGUAUUCCUUUGCAGCCGGCUGGCCUGUGCAUAUGGAAUACAUUUUCUUUGGGUGUCUCACCAUUAGCGUUUUCAUUUCUGCUUAGCGUCAGGGGCUUUGCACAUCGCUGGCCUUCCAGAGUACUAAGCCCGUCUUUGUGUAGGCUUGCUUUGUUCUCUCAUUUCCUGAUCAGUCAGGAAGCAUUUCUGGGCAAGAGCUUUUGGAGGGGGGGUUUUGCCUGGCAGCUUCAUACACUAUGAGUUUUGGAGAAGGAUGAAUCAAGUACCACCUCAUACACAGGUCUCCUCUCUCCCUCCCUGUAUACAUGGCUACCUGUGGAUUAGAUACAGCCUUCUUUCCUCCCCAGGUUUUCUAAUGCUCUCACAUGUAGAUCUGCUAAGCUCUGCUAAUAAGCACAAAGAAAUCAGCUGCCACGUUCAAAGCUUAUGCUAUCAGUCAGCUGAGCAUCACGCUGAAAAGGCAACCUUCCACUUAAAAGAAUAUAAUAAUUCACAGUGCUGGCAAAGGUGCAGUGAGAUGGGCACUGUCAUAGCCACUGAUUAAUGAGAGUGUAAAUUGAUAUAACACUUCAGGUGGGGGGAGGUGAGGGGAGCAACUAACCAGCAUAUAACAAGAGCCUUUGAAACAGUGAUUCCACUUCUAGGAAAGUGUCUCCUAAGGAAACAAUCAGAAAUGUGGUCAAAGAUUAUAACAGCCGGGCGCGGUGGCUCACGCCUGUAAUCCCAGCACUUUGGGAGGCCGAGGCGGGCGGAUCACAAGGUCAGGAGAUCGAGACCACGGUGAAACCCCGUCUCUACUAAAAAUACAAAAAAAAAAAAAA